UGAGGAGUCGUCCAACGGCAGGACACUACACUCUGGAUGUAGGUAUCUUGGUUCGAAUCCAGGCUCCUCAG
rnacentral:tRNA from 1 species